rnacentral:rRNA from 1 species
AGUGAACGCUGGCGGUAGGCCUAACACAUGCAAGUCGAACGGCAGCACAGUAAGAGCUUGCUCUUACGGGUGGCGAGUGGCGGACGGGUGAGGAAUACAUCGGAAUCUACUUUUUCGUGGGGGAUAACGUAGGGAAACUUACGCUAAUACCGCAUACGACCUACGGGUGAAAGCAGGGGACCUUCGGACCUUGCGCGAUUGAAUGAGCCGAUGUCGGAUUAGCUAGUUGGCGGGGUAAAGGCCCACCAAGGCGACGAUCCGUAGCUGGUCUGAGAGGAUGAUCAGCCACACUGGAACUGAGACACGGUCCAGACUCCUACGGGAGGCAGCAGUGGGGAAUAUUGGACAAUGGGCGCAAGCCUGAUCCAGCCAUACCGCGUGGGUGAAGAAGGCCUUCGGGUUGUGAAGCCCUUUUGUUGGGAAAGAAAAGCAGCAGGUUAAUACCCCGCUGUUCUGACGGUACCCAAAGAAUAAGCACCGGCUAACUUCGUG